AUUGAACGCUGGCGGCAUGCCUUACACAUGCAAGUCGAACGGUAACGGGCCUUCGGGUGCCGACGAGUGGCGAACGGGUGAGUAAUGUAUCGGAACGUACCUUCCAGUGGGGGAUAACGUAGCGAAAGUUACGCUAAUACCGCAUAUUCUGUGAGCAGGAAAGAAGGGGAUCGCAAGACCUUGCGCUGAUUGAGCGGCCGAUAUCAGAUUAGCUAGUUGGUGAGGUAAAGGCUCACCAAGGCGACGAUCUGUAGCGGGUCUGAGAGGAUGAUCCGCCACACUGGAACUGAGACACGGUCCAGACUCCUACGGGAGGCAGCAGUGGGGAAUUUUGGACAAUGGGGGCAACCCUGAUCCAGCCAUGCCGCGUGAGUGAAGAAGGCCUUCGGGUUGUAAAGCUCUUUCGGCCGGGAAGAAAUCGUAUCAGCUAAUACCUGGUGCGGAUGACGGUACCGGCAUAAGAAGCACCGGCUAACUACGUGCCAGCCGCCGCGGUAA
rnacentral:rRNA from 1 species